GCGAGGCCUCCUGCCCUCGAGCGCCUAUUGACGCACGCCCUAGAUCAGAUCCCGCCGACGACUGCCCCUCCUCAGCGUCCUCCCGCCGCCCCUCUCCUUCGAUCUGAUCUCCUUCGCACCCCGCCGUCGCCGGCGACUCCUCGGCGCCUCGCCGUCGCCGUCACAUCAGACGCCGGCCACUCCUCCGCGGCCUCACGCUGUCGUCCUCUCCUUCGCAAGGAACACCCGACCCUUCCUCCGCGGCCUUGUGACGCCGACCACUCCUUCGUGGCCUCACGCCGCCCUCCUCUCCCUCCUUCCUUCGUCCAAGGCCAGGACUUCCCCUCCCUGACCCGAUCUGACGGAGAGAGGGCCAAGCCUUGCCACUCCGGUGGUCACUUUGGCCAAAUCCGGUCGGGGAAGCCACCGUAGAGACUGAACGUCGGCGCAGCAGCAGCAGUCCUUGCGACGGUGGGUGCCGGAGCUCGUCAAGCAACUCGCCGUCGGCGGCCACGACCACCUCAUUCCCUGCCGUGCGUCUCCGUCAACUACUGUGGCAUUGACGACAGCGAGCUAGGAGCCUACGAGGUAGACGCCCUGCUGACUGUGUCGUCAAGGCCUCCACAUGGCUCCUCUUGCGGCAGACUGCUGGUUGUUUGUCAUGUCCUUGAUCACCCUAAUUUAAUCCAAGUCAGGUUUUUGGGAUGAAUUGAUGACAAGGAGAGCACGUUGGAAAUAGUGGAAGUGGAGACGGGAGAGGAUGAUCGGGAUCAAGUACAUCACAAUCAUCGGCAUCAUGUGGCUCUCCUACACCAACGCAAUUCAGGUUUGAUAAUUGAUGAGGGUGGGUGCCAUGGUCGUCUAUGCUGGGCUUCUGCACGAUCACAUCUUCCACAUGUUCGGUGCUGGAGUGGCUGAUCUUGUGGAAGGGUUACGUUUUCCUCUUCUCAUGGAUUUUGACCAUUGUUUUAGAGGGAUUCGGAUAAUGGUUCUGUGAUUUAAAUUAUGAUGGCCUGCAUCAUGCCUCCCUAUAUUUAAGGCAAAUGAUAAUGGAAGUACACCUUCAUGAACAAGCUAGCCGAGGUCUUGGAAUUCCAACCUAGGUAAACAAGUGAACUCAUUUAACGGUUUCCCCUUUUCUGGUGAUGCAGGUAUAGCUCAUUCAUUAAGGGCUACUCAGCUCUGUCUUUUUCUCUCUCUUUGGUGAUUGGAUUAUAUGCUACUCUGUGUUGAAGGAUCUGUUCAUGAUAAAUUUAACAAAUCUUGUCAUGUUUUCAUAAAUUAUCUAUUUGAUCACUCUGCGUGGAACAGUAAACAUUUGUAGCAUGAUCAGGGUUUGAUUAUUUUUAUCAGUGCACAUAACUUCAGAAUAUAAACCAAUGGGGUUAUCUUGUUCGUCUUUCUACUUAUGUAUGUAUACAUAUGGGAUGCUUUGUUAGUUCUGUUGUGCAAAUAAUCAUUCUUUGUGUUGAUGAGCUAUGAUAAUGGCUCCCCAAAUUACAAUACUUGCUAAACGUACACUUUGUUGCGAUGAAAUCCUAUUUAUAAGCAGUAUAUUUUCCUAAUGGAUUGUGAUUAAACUUUGUUGCUUUUACCCACUUUGGUGCUGCUUCAGUGUAUCUGUACUAAAUCGUAAAAUAAGAUGAUUGUAUAUUUUGCUUUAUAGUACACCGGUUCAUGAGAAGAAUGCUGAGAAGAUUCAGCUUGCUGUGCUAAAUGUCAUUCUGGCUUGACUCGAUAAUAUCGUGGUAACAUGGUGGAAUAUUUUAUUUUUUAUUGUAACAAACUGUAGUCAAAUUCAUCAGAUAUAUAUACUUCCAGGAUCGGAGGAACAAGUAGUUUUAGCCUUCUGUUUUCGAAUUCUUAGUUUAACAUCUCUGUACUUGUUGAAGCUGUUAUCUCCAACUCUACAUGAGCAUAGUGAUAUGCAGUAUAGAACAUCUCCAUUUUUUUCUUCUUUGGUGAGCAUGGAAUAUCCAAAUUGACAUCUAGAGAUAGAUAAGUUGGUAGGGUAACGUUCACUAGCUUUUUUUAGGAUCAAAAUUGAUGUAUUAAUUUUCUUAUCAAAGGAUGAUUAACGGAAUCAUGGUAUUGCGGCCAAAAUAUACUCUCUUCAGUUUGUUGGUAAUGAGCAAAAUGUAGUCCUACUGGUAAUGGGCUUUGGAUUUGUGCGUGAAAUACAUUGUUGCAUGCAUGUUUCCUAAGUGAAAAAUGUAAUGGUUCUGAAUAUAGCUGGAGAUGAAUUAUUUGCAGCAUCCAAACAACAACAGUGGCAUGGAUACAGUUAACAGUACUAGCAAUUGAUGAUAUUGUCAUAGCAAUUUUAAUUUGGAAAAAAAAUGUGCGAGAUUAGUCUUUUCUUUUCUUUCAUGCAAUGAAGAGAGUACAAAGUAUACUACAAUUUUUUGUAACCCACACAAUGAUUCAAGAAGCAGGGCCAAACAGGACCAAUGAAGACGCGUACAGUACUGUUCUUCAUGAUAUGAUGUUAAUUUUUCCCCACAAAUGAAUUUAAUAUUUAAUUCUUUGUGAGACAACUACUAAAAUGAAGUAGUUUAUAGGUUUGAAAAUUCCAUGUAUUGUGCAUAUUUUUAUGUGCGUACUUGACUCAGAUGCAAGCUAUUCGCAGUACGUAUAUUCUGAAAGAAAACAUGACGUAGCUGCUGAAUGCUCUCUGAAACGUAGCAUAUUUUUUAAAAUACUCUAUUUGCUUUGAAUGAGGUUGCCUUUUGCUUUAAACAAUUAACUGCAUUCUGAAAUACUUUUAAAUUUGGCUAAGAUUAAGAGAUCUAGCAAAUGAGUCCAAGUCUCAAAACCAGGUGCAUCUUGAGUAUUUCUUCUCCACGGCGGGUGGUCCAUCUCCAUCGUGGAGUGUUGCUAGAUCAACAACAUCUGGUCUAUCUGAAUGGCACAUUACUGUUCCGAGUCUCCAAGAACCAGCUACAGUACCUAUACAGUAAGAAUCGAACUGCAAAGGAGCUGAUCCCUCUGUUGUUUCAUGACUCCCUUAUGCCCUUGCGAGGAGCGGCCACCAUUGGGCAGGGACAGAGCCGUUGAGCGCCCUUGCUCGGUGGUCCACCACCCUUCUCGCCUCCCGUUCGACGCCUCUUCUCCACACCCCUUCGUUCGAUGUGCUUCGACUCAUGAUGUACCAGAGUGGAGUCAGUAUAGAUAUCAGAGGUGCACAUGGGGUCCUCUUUAGUUUUUUUCCUUAAUUGUUAACCAUCUCCAAUUUUAUGUCAACUCUACUUAUUCCAGUUUCAUAGUUGGAGGUAUCAAUGCAAUGCUUUCUAUGUAUAGAUAAUACAUCAAUUUAUAUCUAUCGCCCUGAAGAAAAUGUACAUUGCUGAUACAAAUAAUCUUUAUUUAGUUUACAAACAUGUAAUGAAAUCUACACUACGAAUAAGAAGACUGAAGUGUAGGACGCGCUCAGGGGUGUGCGGCAGCCCAUGGCGGGCAAGGCGUGCUGCAGUGGGGUUAUGGCAGCAUUAUGGUCAUGAGACAGCUAGCAUGCUCAUUGGUAUAAAUUAGUUACCCUCAUGUGGGCUUAUUUUUUAUUCUAAGUAUUAACAUGCCUUCAAAAUAAUUCUGUAAUAGGUAUAUAAUUGCAGGUUGUUGUGUGAGCUGCACCUAAACUGAGAACUGAAACUGCAAUGAAUUACUUGAAACUUGGUGUCUUUAUAUUUGCCCCAUUUGUUGAGGUUCAGUUUCACUAAAAUGGACAGACCAUGAGCUCCUUUAGGAACUUGUUGGGAAAUGUCGCUUGUGUGGAGAGGCUGGAAAUACGAAGACAAGUAUGUGUUUGAUUAUUUUGAAGCUAUUUAACAUAUUAGUGGUGUCAACGAGGGUAAGUCCAGGUUCCACAUGUCAAGCUAUAUCAGUUUUUUCGCAAAGAAAUUUCUCUUUAUACAACAAGACAAUACUUAUUUGUGAUUUUGCAUGCCGUCGUGGAAUUCUAGCGAACAUGUCAAUUUGUUCGUGAUUUCGGACGUACAGUAUUUGGGUCCCAUGCACGAGGAGACGUUGAUAAGUUACUUCAGAUAUACAUAUGGACCGAACUAAAUAUGUAUUUAGAGAUUAUAAAAGUGUGUGUUGUUUUGCAAUAGUUUUAACCCACUCAACUGUAUUAUAAAUGUGCAAAAAAAAUCUGGCCCGGUGGCAAAGCAGAGUAUUUAGCUAGGUGAGCUAUAGACCAGGAGCUGGUGGGCGGCAGGGCAAGCACGCCGCUUCUCCUCUCUGUCUCCAGAGAGGCGCGUGCGUCAAAAAAUGAACAUAUCUGAGCCACGCGCCUUGCUUCUACUGGUUUCUAUAGAGAUUGGCUCGCUUAGAUUUUAGACUAGGCGGUUGCUGUCGAGGUCGCCAAGGUGAUCCUACAACACUGCCAUGGGGAUUGUUCAUGAUUCUAUCUGGACAAGCAGUGGUGGUGAUUGGCUGGGUGGUGGUGUUGCCUUGGGGAGAGACAAAGUGAAGGUAAAAGCAAGCAAGAUCCGAUGGUGCUGCCGUGAGGAUAGCCAAAGUCAAGACGUAGACUACGGACUCGUCGCAACGAACCUGGACGCUACGAGCCUGAUUCAUGGACCAAUGGACAUCCUCUAGCUCUCAUGCGUUUUAGUCUCUCUUUUCUCUUUAUGCUGUAUCACCAAUGGUGCGCGCGCGAGAGAGAGGGAGAGGGAGAGGGGUCUAAAUGAUUGUAUCCGUACCAGUUUCAUGUUUCCAUGCAUGUCACAUAGAAAACAGUAUCUUCAUGUGGCAAGUAUCUAAUGCAUAUACAUGAGUUAUAUUAUUUAUCGUAUUCACAUACUAAUAUAUUCAUGAUUUUUUUUUUUUUGCAUUGUAGAGUGCUAGCACGCUACAUUGGAGAGAAAGCGUUGAGAGAAUGCUUUGUUGGGAUGAUAGACAUGAAUAAUCAAUCCUGAAUCAUCAUUCCAAGGUUAGAUUUGUACUUCCUGCCCAGUUCUUUUUCACAAAGGACCAAGCCUCUUACUUUAUCCAUUUCUUAAUUUUGUUCCUUCACAGAAAAACAUUUUCUCAUUUCAAUCUUUCUCCAUUUGGUAUGAGUAUGACACACGCUCUGAUUUUUUUGACUAUUCUUGGUUGAUUAAUGGUUGGUGUAUUGCCUUCCACUUUGGAUUAUUCUAAAUCUUCUUGCUUAGGCUAUGUGUACCAUUCUGUCAUGUGCCACCAUUGAUCUGAGCAAAAAUCAGUGUAGAUGAACCGAGCUAUUUUAUUAUAAGCUGUGUACAGAACUUCCUGGAAAGAUAACCAUGUAGUUAUUGUUUUAUGCCGUAUAUAUUCAGAUAGGUGAAUUAUCGCAAGUUAGUCCCGGUAUGUUAAUAGGAUUGUGCCAACCUAGAGCCUUUUCAGAUGGUGCCAACUCUGUUUGGGGUUUCCUUCUACCUAAUCAAGGCUUAGCCCAAUUUGUCUUGUCCUUAUCUCCUUUUCUGUCAUAAAUUCUUCAUCUAUUCAAGAAGCUCAUUUUUGUUAGUUGGAACAACUGAAAAAAUCAUACUCCCCUGUUCCUGUAUAUAAAGUCUAAUUGUUUUUUCAAAAGUCAAACGAGUGCAUGUUUGACCAAGUUUUUAGAAAAUAUAUUGAUAUCCACUAUACCAAAUUUAUAUCAUUCGAUCCGUCAUGAAAAGUAGUUUUAUAUUUUAUCUACUAGGUUUUUCAGAUGUUGAUAUUUUAUUCUAUAAUCUUGGUCAAACAUUCGAAUGGUUGACUUGGAGGAUAUCAAUACACCUUAUUUUCUGGAAUGGAGGGAGUAUCAUUCUUGGUGUGACGGACAAAUAGAAAGAAAGGUCCGCAAAGAGUGCACUCACAAAAGCCAUGUACUGUAGGCCAUGAGUGAUUACCUUGAAAGCUUUCUCAUCGAGGCCAUAGUUCCAAACUAUACCAUCAUUUAAGAAACAUUCAAUCAGAAUUGGAGGAAAUGCCAUCCAUUGGGGUUCUGAAGUUCUGAACUUUGAUCUCUCUAUUUGAAUCGUUGUUAUUAUUUUGUC